GGGUGCGAUCAUACCAGCACUAAUGCACCGGAUCCCAUCAGAACUCUGGAGUUAAGCGUGAUUGGGCGAGAGUUGUACUAGGUUGGGUGACCCACCGGCAAGUCCUUGUGUUGCACCCC